AGUGGAUUAGCUGGGUCAAAUGGUGGUUCCAUUCCAAGUCCAAGGACUCCCCAUACUCCUUUCCAUAUUGGCUGUACCAAUUUGCAGUCCCACCAGCAAU
rnacentral:pre_miRNA from 1 species